rnacentral:rRNA from 1 species
GACGAACGCUGGCGGCGUGCUUAACACAUGCAAGUCGAGCGGAAAGGCCCUGCUUUUGUGGGGUGCUCGAGUGGCGAACGGGUGAGUAACACGUGAGUAACCUGCCCUUGACUUUGGGAUAACUUCAGGAAACUGGGGCUAAUACCGGAUAGGAGCUCCUGCUGCAUGGUGGGGGUUGGAAAGUUUCGGCGGUUGGGGAUGGACUCGCGGCUUAUCAGCUUGUUGGUGGGGUAGUGGCUUACCAAGGCUUUGACGGGUAGCCGGCCUGAGAGGGUGACCGGCCACAUUGGGACUGAGAUACGGCCCAGACUCCUACGGGAGGCAGCAGUGGGGAAUAUUGCACAAUGGGCGGAAGCCUGAUGCAGCAACGCCGCGUGCGGGAUGACGGCCUUCGGGUUGUAAACCGCUUUCGCCUGUGACGAAGCGUGAGUGACGGUAAUGGGUAAAGAAGCACCGGCUAACUACGUGCCAGCAGCCGCGGUGAUACGUAGGGUGCGAGCGUUGUCCGGAUUUAUUGGGCGUAAAGGGCUCAUAGGUGGUUGAUCGCGUCGGAAGUGUAAUCUUGGGGCUUAACCCUGAGCGUGCUUUCGAUACGGGUUGACUUGAGGAAGGUAGGGGAGAAUGGAAUUCCUGGUGGAGCGGUGGAAUGCGCAGAUAUCAGGAGGAACACCAGUGGCGAAGGCGGUUCUCUGGGCCUUUCCUGACGCUGAGGAGCGAAAGCGUGGGGAGCGAACAGGCUUAGAUACCCUGGUAGUCCACGCUGUAAACGGUGGGUACUAGGUGUGGGGUCCAUUCCACGGGUUCCGUGCCGUAGCUAACGCUUUAAGUACCCCGCCUGGGGAGUACGGCCGCAAGGCUAAAACUCAAAGGAAUUGACGGGGCCCCGCACAAGCGGCGGAGCAUGCGGAUUAAUUCGAUGCAACGCGUAGAACCUUACCUGGGUUUGACAUGGAUCGGGAGUGCUCAGAGAUGGGUGUGCCUCUUUUGGGGUCGGUUCACAGGUGGUGCAUGGCUGUCGUCAGCUCGUGUCGUGAGAUGUUGGGUUAAGUCCCGCAACGAGCGCAACCCUUGUUCACUGUUGCCAGCACGUUAUGGUGGGGACUCAGUGGAGACCGCCGGGGUCAACUCGGAGGAAGGUGGGGAUGACGUCAAGUCAUCAUGCCCCUUAUGUCCAGGGCUUCACGCAUGCUACAAUGGCUGGUACAGAGAGUGGCGAGCCUGUGAGGGUGAGCGAAUCUCGGAAAGCCGGUCUCAGUUCGGAUUGGGGUCUGCAACUCGACCUCAUGAAGUCGGAGUCGCUAGUAAUCGCAGAUCAGCAACGCUGCGGUGAAUACGUUCCCGGG